GUAACUAAGAGGUUUGACUCCAACUUGACACUUUUUUUUAAUUACUAUAAGCAUUAUGUUGUAUGUGCUGUGUUCCUUUCUAUUAUCUCUUUGCCUGUUUUUCCUUUUUGUAUCUUUCAGAAUUUAAGAAUUCAUGUGGUUGUUCUAGUACUUUAUACUUCUUUAAUCACACUCAUGACCCUUUUUUUCUUCUUAGAGAUUUACUAUUUGAUUGUCAAGCUUAAAAGUAAACUUUACUCUGCUCUACUACCUGCAUGACAAUCAGUGAAUUUACUCUCUUAUCUCUCACUUCCUCAGUCUUUUUAAAAUUUGAAUUACAUUUACUCUGAUAGAGUACUGAACAUUUGCAUUAUGUUAUUCUUCUCUUGAUGCACUUUGGUUUUACUCUUAGAGUGACAAUUAAACAUACUCAGUACUUUCUCUGACUCCUUUCUUGAAGUUUUCCAGACGGCUCUUGGUUAGAUGAAACUUGACUUCUAGUAGAUUUCUCAGAAAGCAUUUCUGAGGACAGAUUUCCCUCCAUUUUUGCAUGUUUAAAUCUUUUCUUCUAGCUUUGAUAUUUGAACGACUGCUUGGUUGAUAUAAAAUCCUUUGCUCAGACUCUUUUCUUGAGUUUCUUGAAAAUACUGUUCCAUUUCUGGCAGAAAUGGAGAAGCCUAACUUCAAAUCUUUCCUUCAAAUAUCAAGGCUUGCUCCAGGUAUUAAGUUGGGUGAGGUAGGGCUGACUUAAGCAUUCCAGUCAAUUUCCUGAGGGGCAUGAUGGGGCAUUUCAAUACGCAGAUCCUGGUCUUCUUUAAUUUCCGGAAAGUUUUCUGAAAUAUUAUUUCCGUUCUAUCUUUCUUCUUCAGAAACGACUCCAAUUGUGUAUAUUGGAUCAUCAUUGCUGUCUUCUGUAGUAAUCACUUUUAAUCUAUUUUUUAAAUGCCCUCUUUACAUCAUUAUUGUUGUCUUGACUGCUUUGUGUCUUUCCUUAUUAUAUUUUUAUUGAAAUAUAUUCUCAUUUGGGCCCUUUGUAAUUUAGUUUCCAUUUCUGUGAUGAUUUUGUCUUUUUCUUCCAUUUAUUUUCUAAGACUGAUUUCAUAGCUUUCUGAUUUUGGUCUAUUUCUGUUUGCAGUUUUUUAAGAUCUAAUUUGAAUUAUUUUUAUAUGUGCAAAAGCCUGAUUAAGGAUAUUUAACCCAAGUUCAGGUGUUGUGAUAUAAUUUUUUUCUGCUUUAUGGUUGGAUUUGGGGGAGAAUUUUCACCAAGUGAAAUAUUUAAAAAUCUCAUUUUGUUUCUUUUGAUAGCAACUUUGUGUGGAUACUCUAAUUUUCUGUUUAUUUUGCAAUAUUUAUCCUCCUGGACUAGCAGUACCGAUUGCAUGAAGACAGAGGUGAGGAAGGUUUACCAACAUGUUUUCAGGGGAAGACUUAACAGAAUUUUAUUAGGUCGAGCGUACCCUCUUAUUGAGAUCUAAAAUGCAAAUUUACUACAUGGUGUCUGAGACAGGAGAGGGGUUGGACUGCUUUCUGAGUUGGUGAUUCUCUUUGGUUUCGGUAGGACCAUUCGUUUCCACCUCUUUUUCCUCCUUUCCCUUUGCUAUUAAGCCUCCAAAUGAUGCCCCUUGGAAGUCUUUCCAUCAGAAGUAGCCUCUAUGCAAGAGGGCUGCCUUUGACUCCUUGCACCUUCAAGCCUUUUCUAAUUGAGGGCCCAGUAGCCAGGCUCAGAAUAAGUCUCUAGCAUCUUCUCAUCACUUCCCCACCCUGGGUGGUACUUACUCUGGUUCCUGCACCCCCUUUCUCUGUCCUGUACAGCAUGCGUUCUCCUGGUGACUCUGCUGGUUUGGUUUAUUUCCUGGCUUGUGUGUGAUUUUAAUUUUUGAAAUAGUAUUGGCUUCCUAAUUAUGCCCUAGUGGGUUAUGAGUGGUUUUAUUUACUCUUCUGUUGAUUUUUUUUUUUUUUUUUAGGAUGUAUGAAUUGAUCUGGAUUUAAGUACCUACUAUUAUCUUACUGGAAUUUGGAGCCCUCAUAAGCGUUUUUAAUUUAAAAUAAAUGUUAGAGAUUAUGUAUUCUAAACCACUCCAUUUACAAAUGAGAAACUUGGUCCUGGUGACAGCAAAUAUUUCUCUCAGCGUUAUACAGGAGCAGAGUCAAGACAAAACCAUACCUCCUUUACAUCCUUUAAGAAUAAAAUGCCCUUUCAAAACAGACUGCAUUAUGGCAGAAAUCCCCAAAUCAGAAGUCACAGGGGUUCCUGCCCACUUAUUUGUAUCCCGAGAGGCUACACAGAAUAGCAGUGGCCCUCCUGAGCUUGAAAUUCCAACAGAAGUCCAAGAAGAAGUACAAAUAUCUCUUAUCCUAGAGGAAUUUGACUUCAACUUAUCUUUGGCUGUGCAGGCAGGAGGAGUAGAGAUUCUCAGGGGUCUGAUCGAAGCUAGAGGUUUAUUUGCAUAUAGGAAGUUAAGGAAGGAGAGGAAAUAAGAACACAGAAUGUUCCUCUCCUCUUUCCUCCGAAUCCUUAGGGAUCAUUUUAUCACCAAUUUUUCAUUUGUUUCUCUGGCAAAGAAACCAGUGGGGGAGACCCAUGGAGUGAGGUCCAAAGCGCCAGCUAAGGCUCACUCUCUCAGUCCAAGAACACAAACAGUGAGUCUGUGAUGUGCUAGACACUCAGCUGGGCAUGGGGGGAAACAGUGAGAAGGAAAGCAAAUUGUUUUCCAAAAAGAGUUCACCAUUUAAUGGAACGAGUUUGCAUGCUUUAUACAACCAGUGUGGUAAGUGCUGUAUGAUGUAAAUACAACAAAUGGUGGGAGCACACAGGUGGAAGCAAGGAUUCUGCCUUGCUGAUUAAAUAGCAUUUGAGCUGAGUUUUAAAGAACGAAUAGGAGCUUACUAGAAAUAAAAUGCAGGAAAGCGUAUUUCAUAGUUAGUGAAUUGGAAGCAAAUGGGGAAUGGCUGGAAGAUUCGGCUUGACUUUGUACUAGAGGCUAGAUCUUAAAAGUCCCAGCAUAUCUCAAACUUCAAUGUGAAGGUAAUAGGAAGUGGUAAAGUGUCUUAAGUAGGGCAGUGACAGGGUGAAUCUUGUGUCUUAGAAUGCAGGGUGGAUUGGAAGAGGCAUGCCCGGAAGCUAGGAGUUGAAUUAGGAGGCUACUGACAUAUAACCGAAAGAUGAUGAAGUUCUAGACCUUGAUAAUGUCCUAGUCUCUGACUCUCUCAUGUCCAGCCACUACCUGCAGGGGGUCCAUCAGACGCCUUGACGCUACUUAUCCAAACCUAAACUCAUCAGUGACUCCUUUCUUCCUUAACAUGCAUUCCCUAUUUCAGUUCUCUCAAGCCAGAUGGGUCACUCGAGCCAGAUACGGAGAGUCUGCUUCUCCUUCACUCCAUGUAUCCAGUAGUCAUCUACAAGUAAAAAUUCAAUUUCUUAAAUAUCCCCCUCUCAAUUCCAAUUCAAUGGCCACUGCCUUGGUGAGGAUAUGAGGAGAAUAAUGUGGAAUGAAAAACCACAUUGGGGAUUGAUGAAUGAGAGGUUCGAAUGAAGUCACAAGACAUUCUGGAAAGGGAGUACAAGGGUGUGUUGGGGAGGCAGGAGUCUGAUCAGCGAGUGUGAUGUUUGAAGCUGAGGUUUCAGGGGUGGUAUGUUGAUGCGAAGGUUUUGGUGUGGCCCUGUGACUGAGGCUGAGGUGAGGGCAGGAUAUUACUAGAGAUGUGGAGCUUAAGGAGCUGAGUGGCCAGAGUUUUAGAAGGGUCAUCAAGAUAUAUAUGGAAGCCCCCAAAGAUAAUGACAGUGGUUAUGAUAGGGAUGAGUAGGAGAGUUACCCAGGUAGUUGUAGAAGUCCCAGUAGGGGACCAGAGAUAGAGAGGGAAACCUAGGGAACUUUGGGAGAUCCCUGUAAGCUAACGAUCACUCGAGAAAGCUAUUCAGAACGUUGGGGACUAAAACAGACUUGCCUAACUCUAUAACCAUAAGUAAAAGCAUGAGAUAUGCCUCAGUGAAAGAAAAAAUGAGACCUGCAUUCAGGUUCUGCAAAAUAAUGAUCCUUAGGACCAAGGACAGGAAUUUAAGGGAAAUAUGACAUUCCCAGAGGUCCUGCAGAGGCUCGGUGGUUAAUGAACCUGAGUAGUAGCCAAAAGGACGUGGGUUCCAUCCCUGGCCUCGCUCAGUGGGUUAAGGAUCUGGCGUUGCCCUAAGCUGUGCUGUAGGUCGCAGAUGUGGUUUGAUUCUGGCACUGCUGUGGCUGUGCUGUAGGCCGGUGGCUACAGCUCUGAGUCGACCCCUAGCCUGGGAACCUCCAUAUG
rnacentral:lncRNA from 1 species